ensembl:snRNA U6 U6 spliceosomal RNA
AUGAUAGCUUCGGUAGCAUACAUACUAAAAUUGUAAUGAAACAGAGAAGAUUAGCAUAGACCUUGUGCAAGGAAGACACAAAUUCAUGAAGCAUUCCAUAUUUUG